rnacentral:rRNA from 1 species
CGGUUUGUCGCGUCUGCUGUGAAAUCCCGAGCUCAACCUCGGGCCUGCAGUGGGUACGGGCAGACUAGAGUGCGGUAGGGGAGAUUGGAAUCCUGGUGUAGCGGUGGAAUGCGCAGAUAUCAGGAGGAACACCGAUGGCGAAGGCAGAUCUCUGGGCCGUAACUGACGCUGAGGAGCGAAAGGGUGGGGAGCAAACAGGCUUAGAUACCCUGGUAGUCCACCCCGUAAACGUUGGGAACUAGUUGUGGGGUCCAUUCCACGGAUUCCGUGACGCAGCUAACGCAUUAAGUUCCCCGCCUGGGGAGUACGGCCGCAAGGCUAAAACUCAAAGGAAUUGACGGGGACCCGCACAAGCGGCGGAGCAUGCGGAUUAAUUCGAUGCAACGCGAAGAACCUUACCAAGGCUUGACAUAUACGAGAACGGGCCAGAAAUGGUCAACUCUUUGGACACUCGUAAACAGGUGGUGCAUGGUUGUCGUCAGCUCGUGUCGUGAGAUGUUGGGUUAAGUCCCGCAACGAGCGCAACCCUCGUUCUAUGUUGCCAGCACGUAAUGGUGGGAACUCAUGGGAUACUGCCGGGGUCAACUCGGAGGAAGGUGGGGAUGACGUCAAAUCAUCAUGCCCCUUAUGUCUUGGGCUUCACGCAUGCUACAAUGGCCGGUACAAAGGGCUGCAAUACCGUGAGGUGGAGCGAAUCCCAAAAAGCCGGUCCCAGUUCGGAUUGAGGUCUGCAACUCGACCUCAUGAAGUCGGAGUCGCUAGU